CCAGAAUUGAUAAAAACAUGUACAAAUCAAUAAGACAGAGUAUUCAAUAAUAAAUGAAUGAGCAAAAGAUUUAAUUCGGUACUCCACAAAAGAACAUAUCCAAAUGGUUAAAACAUUUUACAAAAGAGUCCUACCAGAAUAGUUAAAAGAAAAAAGACCGACAAUAUCAAGUUUGGCAAAGAUGUGGAACAACUGUAACACUCAUUUACUGAUGAUAAAGUACAACCACUUAGUAAAACCGCCUGGCAGAGUCUAUGAAAGCUGAGCAUAUGGACAGACUAUGAGCCAACAAUGCCACUCCUAGCUAUGUAACCAAAUGAAAAGUACACAUGUGCUCCGAGAGACACACACGGGAAUAUUCAGAACCUUUUCUGUAAUAGCUAUAAACUGAAAGCAGCACAUGUCCAACAGGAAAAUGAAUAAACAAAUACAGCAUAUUCAUACAAUAGAAUCCUAUACAGAGCAACUAAAAUAACAGCUAGAGGCAACAACACGGAUGGAUCUUACAAGCCUGAUGUGGAACAAGAGAAGCCUGUCCAGAGACUAAGUGAAUGGAUUUAUGUGGUAUGCAAAAACAGGCAAAACCAAAUCAUAGUGUUUUGGGAGGUAUGCUUACAUAGUAAAGCUCUGAAGGAAAACAAAGAAAAGGCGACUAAAGAGAAUGACAACUUACACAAUGCAGAAUCCUGGAUUGGAUCCUAGAUCCAAUCAACGUGUAGGGAUGCUGAUCCCACUCCAAGUCUAGAACAUCAUUCACAUCUUGGACAGCAAAUUUCACAUACUGAUGAAGGCGCCGAAUUUCCUAUAAGAAAAAAAUUAAAAGGCAAAUAACUUGUUUUUCUGAUAGUUUGGGGGAAGAUGUAUCAAAACAGU
rnacentral:lncRNA from 1 species